UACGUAGGGGGCUAGCGUUGUCCGGAAUCAUUGGGCGUAAAGCGCGUGUAGGCGGUCCGGUAAGUCCGCUGUGAAAGUCGGGGGCUCAACCCUCGGAUGCCGGUGGAUACUGUCGGGCUUGAGUACGGAAGAGGCAAGUGGAAUUCCCGGUGUAGCGGUGAAAUGCGCAGAUAUCGGGAGGAACACCUAUGGCGAAGGCAGCUUGCUGGGACGGUACUGACGCUGAGACGCGAAAGCGUGGGGAGCAAACAGG
rnacentral:rRNA from 1 species